UGGAAGCGUCUGGAAAGGCGUGCGAUACAGGGUGACAGCCCCGUACACAAAAAUGCACAUAUUGUGAGCUCGAUGAGUAGGGCGGGACACGUGGUAUCCUGUCUGAAUAUGGGGGGACCAUCCUCCAAGGCUAAAUACUCCUGACUGACCGAUAGUGAACCAGUACCGUGAGGGAAAGGCGAAAAGAACCCCGGCGAGGGGAGUGAAAAAGAACCUGAAACCGUGUACGUACAAGCAGUGGGAGCCUCUUUAUGGGGUGACUGCGUAC
rnacentral:rRNA from 1 species